UACGGAGGGGGCUAGCGUUGUUCGGAAUUACUGGGCGUAAAGCGCACGUAGGCGGCUUUUUAAGUCAGGGGUGAAAUCCCGGGGCUCAACCUCGGAACUGCCCUUGAAACUGGAGAGCUAGAAUCUUGGAGAGGCGAGUGGAAUUCCGAGUGUAGAGGUGAAAUUCGUAGAUAUUCGGAAGAACACCAGUGGCGAAGGCGACUCGCUGGACAAGUAUUGACGCUGAGGCGCGAAAGCGUGGGGAGCAAACAGG
rnacentral:rRNA from 1 species